rnacentral:tRNA from 1 species
GUCCCCAUCGACUAGCGGUUAGGUCACCACUCUUUCAAGGUGGCGGCACGGGUUCAAAUCCCGUUGGGGACGCCA